rnacentral:rRNA from 1 species
GAUGAACGCUAGCGGCAGGCUUAACACAUGCAAGUCGAGGGGCAGCAUGAUGAAACUUCGGGUUUCAUUGAUGGCGACCGGCGCAAGGGUGCGUAACGCGUGAGCAACUUGCCCUUAUCAGGGGGAUAACCGGUGGAAACGCCGACUAAUACCCCAUAGUAUCAACUUUAGGCAUCUUUAGUUGAUUAAAGAUUUAUCGGUAACGGAUGAGGAUGCGUACGAUUAGCUGGUUGGCGGGGUAACGGCCCACCAAGGCGACGAUCGUUAGGGGUUCUGAGAGGAAGGUCCCCCACACUGGAACUGAGACACGGUCCAGACUCCUACGGGAGGCAGCAGUGAGGAAUAUUGGUCAAUGGUCGGAAGACUGAACCAGCCAAGUAGCGUGAAGGAUGAAGGUUCUAUGGAUUGUAAACUUCUUUUAUACGGGAAUAAAGCCCACUACGUGUAGUGGUUUGUAUGUACCGUAUGAAUAAGCAUCGGCUAACUCCGUG